UGCACACUGGGGGAGGAGAAACGGAGCCUGAGGUCAGGGAGGUUGGAAAGCGAGACCUCACAGGGAAGGCAGUCUGCGGGGAAACAGACAAGACUGGCCCCUAAGGCAGCAAGGACCUGCUUAUGGCUUCUUUCCUCCUCCAGAUUGUUCUAAGUGCUCAUGUAGCAUUUGUUUACUGUAUGAAAGCCCUGGAAGGCGUCUCACAUUCCCUACUCCGGAAUUCUUCAUCUGCUCCCAGUAAAAAGGAAUCAAUAAAUCUCCUUAAAUUAAAGUCUAAUGUUAGAAUUUCUGGUAGUUUUCCAACCUGGACAUAUACAUUUUCAUUCCUUGGGAAUUCAUUCUUCAGAAUCCUAGCUCAGAACUCAAAUCACAGAGAACUGGAAGAGGCACAGUGUAAGCAUUAGAAAAUCUUGCUUCAUGGGGACUUUGGGAAAAGAACAAUCCCCCUUAGAUUUGGUUUCCUUAUCUGCAAAAUGAGGUACUGAUAAAAAUAAUAGUAAUGAUAAUAAUCAUUCUUAACUACCCGUAUACCACAGCUAUUCGUACUGGGCACGACAUCUGCCUGUCUGGCUUAUCAGGUGCAGAAGUGUUGACUGAAUAUCCUGGACAAAUGCUGUAUAGGAAAAGCCACCUCUUCCCCAGGUCUGCAGGUACAGUUACCGUCUUCAAAAAUUGAACAAGCACCACCUCCAGGGUGCAGGAAAUACUAACUUAUGGGUGUGCAGUGCUUUGCAGUGGUCAAAGCCAUCUCAAGAUGAACGCACUGCUGCAAAGCAACUAGAAGUGCCCACACGUAAGUGAUCAAUGAGGAUGAGUGUUAUCAGCAGCUCAUGUGACACAUGGUGGCACCAUGAAGUGUCUCCUGUGAUUCCUGUUUUACAUCUGAAGAAACAGAGGCUUCGAACUAUUGAGUAGCUUACUGAAAGGUCCCCUUGGUGGAAACAGUAGACGGGAUCACAGCCUAAAUUAAAGACUCCUAAUCUA